UACGUAGGGCGCAAGCGUUAUCCGGAAUUAUUGGGCGUAAAGAGCUCGUAGGCGGUUUGUCGCGUCUGCCGUGAAAGUCCGGGGCUCAACUCCGGAUCUGCGGUGGGUACGGGCAGACUAGAGUGAUGUAGGGGAGACUGGAAUUCCCAGUGUAGCGGUGAAAUGCGUAGAUAUUGGGAGGAACACCAGUGGCGAAGGCGGCUCGCUGGACCGGUUCUGACGCUGAGGCGCGAAAGCGUGGGGAGCAAACGGG
rnacentral:rRNA from 1 species